UAAUUGGAGAGUUUGAUCCUGGCUCAGAAUGAACGCUGGCGGCGUGCUUAACACAUGCAAGUCGCACGAGAACUCUUCUGCUUGCAGAAGAUAGUAAAGUGGCGCACGGGUGAGU
rnacentral:rRNA from 1 species